rnacentral:misc_RNA from 1 species
UGGUACUGUGUCAUCCAGGCGUUUG